GACAGAGGGUGCAAACGUUGCUCGGAAUCACUGGGCGUAAAGGGCGUGUAGGCGGGAAGGAAAGUCAGAUGUGAAAUCCCCAGGCUCAACCUGGGAACUGCAUUUGAAACUCCCUUUCUUGAGUACCGGAGAGGAAAGUGGAAUUCCUGGUGUAGAGGUGAAAUUCGUAGAUAUCCGGAGGAACACCAGCGGCGAAGGCGGCUUUCUGGUCCGAUUCUGACGCUGAGGCGCGAAAGCGUGGGGAGCGAUCCGG
rnacentral:rRNA from 1 species